GGUUGACCUCGGAUCAGGUAGGAAUACCCGCUGAACUUAAGCAUAUCAAUAAGCGGAGGAAAAGAAACCAACAGGGAUUGCCCCAGUAACGGCGAGUGAAGCGGCAACAGCUCAGAUUUGAAAUCUGGCCUCGCGGCCCGAGUUGUAAUCUGUAGAGGAUGCUUCUGGUGCGGCGCCCGCCGAGUUCCCUGGAACGGGACGCCAUAGAGGGUGAGAGCCCCGUAUGGCGGGACGCCUAGCCGUUGUGAAGCUCCUUCGACGAGUCGAGUAGUUUGGGAAUGCUGCUCAAAACGGGAGGUAAAUUUCUUCUAAAGCUAAAUACCGGCUGGAGACCGAUAGCGCACAAGUAGAGUGAUCGAAAGAUGAAAAGCACUUUGAAAAGAGGGUUAAACAGCACGUGAAAUUGUUGAAAGGGAAGGGGUCGUGACCAGAUUUGGGCUCGGGGGAUCCGCCGGCGUUCUCGCCGGUGCACUCCGCCGGGUCCAGGCCAGCAUCGGUUCUUCUGGGGGGAUAAAGGCGGCGGGAACGUGGCUCCCACGGGAGUGUUAUAGCCCGCCGCGCAAUACCCCCGGGGGGACCGAGGUACGCGCUCCGCAAGGAUGCUGGCGUAAUGGUUACCACCCGCCCGUCUUGAAACACGGACCAAGGAGUCAAGCAUUAGGGCGAGUGUUUGGGUGCCAAACCCGCACGCGUAAUGAAAGUGAACGUAGGUGAGAGCUUCGGCGCAUCAUCGACCGAUCCUGAUGUAUUCGGAUGGAUUUGAGUAAGAGCCUUACCGCUUGGACCCGAAAGAUGGUGAACUAUGCCUGUAUAGGGUGAAGCCAGAGGAAACUCUGGUGGAGGCUCGCAGCGGUUCUGACGUGCAAAUCGAUCGUCAAAUAUGGGCAUGGGGGCGAAAGUGAGUUCAAUCCUUCCUGGAGAAGGCAUAUCCGAUCUAUUACUAUGAUACAGUGGCUAACCGAAUUUCUCUAGGACUAAUCGAACCGUCUAGUAGCUGGUUACCGCCGAAGUUUCCCUCAGGAUAGCAGUGUUGUCUUCAGUUUUAUGAGGUAAAGCGAAUGAUUAGGGACUCGGGGGCGCUAUUUAGCCUUCAUCCAUUCUCAAACUUUAAAUAUGUAAGAAGCCCUUGUUGCUUAGUUGAACGUGGGCCUUCGAAUGUAGCAACACUAGUGGGCCAUUUUUGGUAAGCAGAACUGGCGAUGCGGGAUGAACCGAACGCGGGGUUAAGGUGCCGGAGUGGACGCUCAUCAGACACCACAAAAGGCGUUAAUACAUCUUGACAGCAGGACGGUGGCCAUGGAAGUCGGAAUCCGCUAAGGACUGUGUAACAACUCACCUGCCGAAUGUAUUAGCCCUGAAAAUGGAUG
rnacentral:rRNA from 1 species